UACGGGGGGGGCAAGCGUUGUUCGGAAUUACUGGGCGUAAAGGGCUCGUAGGUGGCCAACUAAGUCGGACGUGAAAUCCCUCAGCUUAACUGGGGAACUGCGUCCGAUACUGGAUGGCUUGAGUUUGGGAGAGGGAUGCGGAAUUCCAGGUGUAGCGGUGAAAUGCGUAGAUAUCUGGAGGAACACCGGUGGCGAAGGCGGCAUCCUGGACCAACACUGACACUGAGGAGCGAAAUCCAGGGGAGCAAACGGG
rnacentral:rRNA from 1 species